UGUCAUUAAACAUCAUUUCUCAACUUGAGUCAAUUGAAAUGUUUACCGAUUAUUUUGUCUUUUCUGCAACUUGACUCAUAUUUUUAUUUGUGUUUAAUUUUCUUGUAACAACAAUCAAAAGAUUAUUCCAAUUACCGUCUGGACCAUGGGGACUUCCAAUCGUUGGUUAUUAUCUAUUCCUGAAGAACGAAAGUUACCUUCAGUUUGAUUCUUUACCCAUAGAUUCAAAGUCGAUUAAUGUAACGUGGAUCGUGUUUACCAAACUUACAAAGUUGCUGGGUUGAAUAUUACAUUCAUUCGAUAUGACCCAAGUACAAGCUGUUGAUUGAUGAACUUUAAACGUUUGAAUGGCUGUAUUUUCGUUGUCUCAGUGUUUAUCAGCAUUCUGAUUUCACCUGAAUGGAGAAGAUGGCGAGAAAAUAAUCACAGAUCAAGAUUCAAAAAUUAGAACCUUUUUCAUGUUUCAGGAGGUUAAAAGAAAGUCGAAAGAUGGGAAUGACAAUAUUUUUACAUUAUAAACAUGCUUAAGUUACUUUUCGAAUAGAAGAUGGUUUGACACCUAUUAUCUAUUCUGAAAAUUUUCUAAUGUCCUCGUUAGCCUACUGGCCUACUCACAAGGGAUCACCUUCUGUCAGUAGGGACACACGAUGAACCCUGAAUGGACAGAGGGUGGUCUGUUUGCUGACGAGUUUGCGUGAAUUCCAACAAAUGUCUGUAACAUUUUAAGAUCAUUUAAUAAUAUUUAUUAAUAAUAAUCGUUUAGCGGACAAUAUCCCAUUGAAUUAACUAAAUUUAGUUAAACUAAUAAUUAAAUAAAUACUAUGUCCAA